AUUGAACGCUGGCGGCAGGCCUAACACAUGCAAGUCGAACGAGUGGCGGCCGGGUGAGUAAUGUCUGGGAAAAUGCCCGAUGGAGGGGGAUAACUACUGGAAAAGGUAGCUAAUACCGCAUACCCUCGGAUGUGCCCAGAUGGGAUUAGCUAGUAGGUGGGGUAACGGCUCACCUAGGCGACGGUCCCUAGCUUGUCUGAGUGGAUGACGUGCCAACAGUGAAUGGAGACACGGUCCAGACUCGUCCGGGAGGCGGCCGUGGGGAAUAUUGCACAAUGGGGGCGAGCCUGAUGCACCCAUGCCGCGUGUAUGAAGAAGGCCCGCGGGUUGUAAAGUACUUUCAGCGAGGAGGCGUUACUCGCAGAAGAAGCACCGGCUAACUCCGUGCCAGCAGCCGCGGUAAUAC
rnacentral:rRNA from 1 species